rnacentral:rRNA from 1 species
CGCUGGCGGCGUGCCUAACACAUGCAAGUCGAACGGGGGUUUGCUUCGGUAGAACCUUAGUGGCGAACGGGUGAGUAACGCGUAGGCAACCUGCCCCCCGGAUUGGGACAACACCCCGAAAGGGGUGCUAAUACCGGAUACGAAGAUAAUACCGCAUGGUGUUAUUUUGAAAGAUGGCCUCUACAGGUAAGCUAUCGCCGGGGGAUGGGCCUGCGUCCGAUUAGCUGGUUGGUGGGGUAACGGCCCACCAAGGCGACGAUCGGUAGCCGGUCUGAGAGGAUGAACGGCCACAUUGGGACUGAGACACGGCCCAGACUCCUACGGGAGGCAGCAGUGGGGAAUCUUCCGCAAUGGGCGCAAGCCUGACGGAGCAACGCCGCGUGAGUGAGGAAGUUUUUCGGAAACCGUAAAGCUCUGUUGUACAUGACGGACGUGCGAUCUGUCAACAACGGAUGGCAGUGACGGUAGUGUACGAGGAAGCCACGGCUAACUACGUGCCAGCAGCCGC